GCCGAGUGAGGUGUAUUGGCCUCAACUUCAGCUGACGUUCUGUGUACAAUUGUGAAUCGAAUUUAUUGUGCGUGGAACAGCAGCUAAAGUUGUCGUUUUCUUCAUCAUUAUCACAC
rnacentral:precursor_RNA from 10 species